rnacentral:rRNA from 1 species
CAGUAGCCACGGUAAUACGUAGGGUGCAAGCGUUAAUCGGAAUUACUGGGCGUAAAGCGUGCGCAGGCGGUUAUAUAAGUCAGAUGUGAAAUCCCCGGGCUCAACCUGGGAACUGCAUUUGAGACUGUAUGGCUAGAGUGUGUCAGAGGGGGGUAGAAUUCCACGUGUAGCAGUGAAAUGCGUAGAUAUGUGGAGGAAUACCGAUGGCGAAGGCAGCCCCCUGGGAUAACACUGACGCUCAUGCACGAAAGCGUGGGGAGCAAACAGGAUUAGAUACCCCUGUAGUCCCUGUCUCUUAUAC